rnacentral:lncRNA from 1 species
CUCAGGUGAUUCGCCCGCCUCGGCCUCCCGAAGUGCUGGGAUUACAGGCGUGAGCCACCGCACCCAGCCCAAACCCACAGUUUUAAUCAUGCUUUUGCUUGGCAAGCCGAUUUCUCUAAGCCAGAGUGAGCCGCAAGGAGAGCCCACGGAAAACUUCUGUGACCAAGCGUAUGGGGGGCUUUCCCCAUACACCAAGAAAGCAGUUCGACACUAUCCACCUGGAAGUCACGUCAGAUCCUACAGAACUUGUCAACAACUCAGUCCCACAAAAGUGCCCCUGACUUGAGACAUCAAUUGCAAGUCCGAGCUUCUGGAACUUCCCACCAACCAGCUAUUAAUUGGCAUUCCCAUGAAGCUCCUUUUGGGUUCAGGGCAGCAGGCAAGAAGAACCCAUCAGGCUGUGAUACCUGUGCCACUUGCUCAUGAAGGGCCACCAGCUGCUGGAGCCGUACCUGAUG